GGCAUGGGAUAGACUAGAUUUAUGCGUUCAGGUUGAAAAGAAAUCUUAUAUAGUACAGUUUGUCGAUCUAAAAUGGUAAUUGUGUAUUAACUGCUGUCAACCAUGUCGGUGCGUAAAUGCGUUGUCAGAACUUAUUUAUAUCGCUCAUUUUUUAUUUUGGUUGCGCAUGCGGACCUACGGACCACUUAUGUGCACCCCUGACUAUAUGCCUUCUGUUGCUCUUUUAUAAGACACCAUUAAGGAUCUGAACCUUUGUCUUUUCUGUUUCUGUCUUCAGUCUGUGUUUAUGCAGUAUUACAGAGGAAGAGUGUGUCUUCCUGACUUCAGCUCUGAAAUCAAACCCAUCACACCUGAGAGAACUGGACCUCAGUGGGAAUAAACUAGGAGACUCUGGAGUUGAAAACCUUGGUGUUCUGUUGAGCAGUUCACAAUGCAGGCUGGAGAAACUACAUCUGCGUGGAUGCAGUAUUACAGAGAAACAGUGUCUCAUCCUGACUUCAGCUCUGAAAUCAAACCUUUCACACCUGAGAGAACUGGAUCUGAGUGAGAAUCAAAUAGAAAACACAGGAGUGAAUCACUUAUGUGAUGUACUGAAGGAUUCAGACUGUAAACUGGAGAGAUUGAGUCUAAAUGAUUGCGGCAUUACAGACGUUUCUUCUUUAACUCAGUCUUUGUCUGACACUAAAGCCCUGCAGUUUUUAAAAGAGCUUGAUCUGAGAUACAAUAUGAUUGGAGACUCAGAGCAGCAGCUCAGUCGGAGCGUGCUUCCUG